CUUAAAGAAUCAUUUUGUAAUAGCACCUGAAUAAAAGGGAGGGUAGGAGGGGACUGGGGUGGCAUUAAGGAUGGGCUGUAAGUAGUCUGCAAGCUUUAGAAACAUUAAAGAAUUUGAUAAAAUUUAUAUAUAUGUAGAGACUAUUUAAAAAAUAUAUUAGGCUGCAUGUUCAGGGCCAGAUUAGAAACCAAAACCAAACCCUCCAGAUCCUAAGUACUGUAUAAAUGAGACUGCACAAAAGUAUUAUUUGAAAGACAUUUCACUUAUUUUCAGAAAUAGAAACAUACAAUGUGAUUAUUUACUUAUUAAAAAAUGAUGCAUUCUUAUAAAGGUAAGUAUAACAUAUACAAGUUUUUGAUAAAAAAUGACAUCUGCUUCACAGAAUGAAAUUUAAUAAAGAAUCUUAUUAUAACAAUGGUACUGAGUAAACAUCUGAGUAAGGGACUAUGUAAGAUAAUGACACACACUAGAUAUAGAUAAGGUUACAUGUAUUUUAAAAUGUGCCAUAAAUUUUAAGGUAUUUUAUAACAGACCUUUGCCAUAAUCAUCUUUUAAAUUUCAUGUCAUUUAUUACA
rnacentral:lncRNA from 1 species